GGCUGGAUAGCUCAGUCGGUCAAGAGCGAGGGAUUCAUAACCCCUAGGUCGAUGGUUCGAUUCCAUCUCCAGCCA
rnacentral:tRNA from 1 species